UGAGAAGAUAGUGGCGAACGGGUGGGUAACAACGUGGGUAACCUGCCCAUAAGAGGGGGAUAACAUCCGGAAACGGUGCUAAUACCGCAUAGUUUCUUGAUCGCAUGAUUGAGAAAGGAAAGACGGCCUUUGUGCUGUCGCUUAUGGAUGGACCCGCGGCGUAUUAGUUAGUUGGUGAGGUAACGGCUCACCAAGACGAUGAUACGUAGCCGACCUGAGAGGGUGAUCGGCCACAUUGGGACUGAGACACGGCCCAAACUCCUACGGGAGGCAGCAGUAGGGAAUCUUCCGCAAUGGACGAAAGUCUGACGGAGCAACGCCGCGUGAGUGAAGAAAGGUUUUCGGAUCGUAAAACUCUGUUGUCAGAGAAGAACAAGUUGGAGAGUAACUGCUCCAGCCUUGACGGUAUCUGACCAGAAAGCCACGGCUAACUACGUGCCAGCCGCUGC
rnacentral:rRNA from 1 species